rnacentral:lncRNA from 1 species
UAGUGCUCGUUUGGUUCAAGUAGAGGAAUGGAAAGGGAAUGGAAUCAAAUAAAGGAGUGGAAUGGUAACAAUAACCAUUACUUUUAUUGAGUGUUUGGUUUAACAAUGGAAAUGAAUCAUUAGUAAGGGAAUCCCUUUCUUUUGUUUCCCCUCUAUUUUGAGGGGUAACAAAUUGGGUGAUUGGGUUACCCUUAAGUAAGGGUAAUGAUUAUCUCAUUACCCAAACCAAACAACAAGUAAUGGAUUCAAUUACUUGAUUCCCUUUCCAACCUUUAAAAACACCCAACCAAACGUGGGCUUAGUAUA